rnacentral:rRNA from 1 species
AGGCAGCAGUGAGGAAUAUUGGUCAAUGGGCGUAAGCCUGAACCAGCCAAGUCGCGUGAGGGAUGAAGGUUCUAUGGAUCGUAAACCUCUUUUAUAAGGGAAUAAAGUGCGGGACGUGUCCUGUUUUGUAUGUACCUUAUGAAUAAGGAUCGGCUAACUCCGUGCCAGCAGCCGCGGUAAUACGGAGGAUCCGAGCGUUAUCCGGAUUUAUUGGGUUUAAAGGGUGCGUAGGCGGCCUUUUAAGUCAGCGGUGAAAGUCUGUGGCUCAACCAUAGAAUUGCCGUUGAAACUGGGGGGCUUGAGUAUGUUUGAGGCAGGCGGAAUGCGUGGUGUAGCGGUGAAAUGCUUAGAUAUCACGCAGAACCCCGAUUGCGAAGGCAGCCUGCCAAGCCAUGACUGACGCUGAUGCACGAAAGCGUGGGGAUCAAACAGGAUUAGAUACCCUGGUAGUCCACGCAGUAAACGAUGAUCACUAGCUGUUUGCGAUACAGUGUAA